GACGAACGCUGGCGGCGUGCUUAACACAUGCAAGUCGAACGGAAAGGCCCUGCUUUUGUGGGGUGCUCGAGUGGCGAACGGGUGAGUAACACGUGAGUAACCUGAUCUUGACUUUGGGAUAACUUCAGGAAACUGGGGCUACUAUCGGAUAGGAGCUCCUGUUGCAUGGUGAGGAUUGGAAAGUUGCGGCGGGCGGGGAUGGACGGGCGGCUUAUGAGCUUGCUGGUUGGGUAGUGGCAUGCCAAGGGUUUGACGGGUAGCCGGCCUGAGAGGGUGACCGGCGACAAUGGGACUGAGGUACGGCCCAGACUGCUACGGGAGGCAGCGGUGGGGAAUAUGGCACAAUGGGCGGAAGUCUGAUGCAGCAGCGCCGCGUUCGGGAUGACGGCCUUCGGGGUGUAAACCGCUGUCGCCUGUGACGAAGCGGGAGUGACGGUAAUGGGUAAAGAAGCACCGGCUAACUACGUG
rnacentral:rRNA from 1 species